rnacentral:misc_RNA from 1 species
CCUCCGUAGGUGAACCUGCGGAGGGAUCAUUACAGAGUUCAUGCCCUAACGGGUAGAUCUCCCACCCUAUGUUAUCAUCACUUUGUUGCUUUUGCGGGCCGUCAGGCCUCGGCUUGGCUACCGGCUCUCGCUGGCAAGCGCCCGCCAGAGCACCCCAAACCCUGAAUAUCAGUGUCGUCUGAGUACUAUAUAAUAGUUAAAACUUUCAACAACGGAUCUCUUGGUUCUG